CAGAAACUGGCAGAUCUCUGCAGAGCAUGCUGACGACGCUGAACAGCUGCAAGUUGAACAAGGAAGAAUGAAAGCAGGCGCUAAAACGAUUGACAGGCGGAGAGCAUUUGCUCGGUGGAGGUAGGAAAUGGAUUUAUUUACCUGACCCUUCAACCCAAUAGUUCCUAACUGCUGGUGCCAUUAAAA
rnacentral:lncRNA from 1 species